ensembl:lncRNA
GGUAAGCAAACCCCCAAGGGAGGCGAUGGAAUGAGUUGUGUGGGCAUUUGGAACAAAGUGUCCAGCAGAAGAAACAACAAGUGCAAAGGCCCUGAGGCAGAAACAGGACAUCUGAGGAUCAGCAAAGAGGCCAAUGUGGCUAGGGCAGAGCAUAGGAAAUCAAAGGGGAGCCUGAUAGUAAAUGAGGACAAUGAAAUAAUGAAGAAACAGUUUAUGUAGUGUCUUAAAAGCUUUUGAAGGUACAUGGCUUCUGUUGAUGAAAUAGGGGGCCUCCGAGAGUUUAAGUGGAAGAAUGAUGUUAUCUGACUUCACACAGGAUCCCUCUGGCUGCAAGAUUGGAAGUUGACUGAAGGGGUCAGAAGCAGAAACACUGAUGGUGGAGACUGUCCUAACACUGCAGAUUCUUGAAUGCACAAGCUCACAAAGCCAGGAGCCCACACAUCUCUGGAAUCUGGAACACGGGCUUAUCAGUGCAUGCAAGGAAGAAUGUAUUUUCCAUAUGUGGCACUGCAAGAGUUAAGUGAUUAGCCUGAGACCGCUGCUAAGUCACUUCAGUCGUGUCCGACUCUGUGCGACCCCAUAGACAGCAGCCCACCAGGCUCCACCAUCCCUGGAAUUCUCCAGGAUCUUAGUUCCCUAACCAGGAAUCAAACCCCUGUGUCCUACUGUGGAAGCGUAGACUCCCAACCACUGGACCACCAGAAGAUUCCCUAAUAGGUAUUUUGCAAGACUUUGAUGACAUAUGGACUUCCCUGGUGGCUCAGAUGGUAAAUCAUCAGCCUGCAAGGCGGGAGACCUGCAUUCGAUCCCUGGGUCAGGAAGAUCCCCUGAAGAAUGAAAUGGCAACCCACUCCAGUACUCUUGCCUGGAAAAUUCCAUGGACGGAGGAGCUUGGUGGGCUACAGUCCAUAGGGUCGCAAAGAGUUGGACACGACUGAGUGACUUUACUUGAUGACACAUCAUGGUAAAGGAAGUGGACAAAGUUUCAGCUGUAUCUCACCCCACUGGCACAUCAACAUGGGAACAUCAAGUCAUAUCAACAUGGAAGCAGAGAAAGUAAAGCCCCUGAAACUGAACUUCAGAGAUACUGGAAAGUUUUCUGAAAGUGUUGUUUUUCAAAAGCUUGAAA